ensembl:snoRNA
UGCAAAUGAUGUUUUUUCUCACGAUGGUCUUCCAAGUCCUCUGGGCUCUGACGACAAUGCCUAAUGGCAACACUGAUGUAGUCUA